AGAGAGAGACAUGCGCGCAUAUCAAUAAGCGGAGGAAAAGAAACUAACAAGGAUUCCCUAGUAACGGCGAGUGAAGCGGGAAGAGCUCAAAUUUGAAAUCUUAAAGGUUUUCCCUUGACGAAUUGUAGUUUAAAGAAGUGUUUUCUGUUGAAGUUUUGGUAAAAGUUCUUUGGAAUAGGACAUCAUAGAGGGUGAGAAUCCCGUAUUUGACCUUUACUUUCAACUUUGUGAUACACUUUCAAAGAGUCGGAUUGUUUGGGAAUGCAGUCCAAAAUGGGUGGUAAAUUUCAUCUAAAGCUAAAUAUUGGCGAGAGACCGAUAGCGAACAAGUACCGUGAGGGAAAGAUGAAAAGAACUUUGAAAAGAGAGUUAAACAGUACGUGAAAUUGUCAAAAGGGAAGCGUUUGACACCAGUGUUGUUUUUCUGAAAAUCAAUUAAAAAGGCGGAUUUAUGCUAGUUGUAUUAGACUUUAUCAGCUACUGCACUUAUUUUUGAUCUUUUCUUUAAUGCACUUUUCAGUUAACAAGUCAACAUCAAUUUCUUUUGCUGUAAAAAAGCUUGAGGAAGGUGGCUUGAGAUUCGUCUUAAGUGUUUAUAGCCUCUUGCCUAUGCAGUCGGAGAGAUUGAGGUCUGCAGCGUAGAUCCUUCGGGGCUAAAUGCAUUUGUGCUAAGUUAUAGCAUUUUAUAGACAACUUGUUGACUAUGAUUUGUCUUGUAGCUUACUCGCUUAUGUUAUUUUACCUACGCUUAGGAUGUUGAGCGCAUGUCUCUCUCU
rnacentral:rRNA from 1 species